CAGGAGAGCAAACGCAGGG
rnacentral:misc_RNA from 1 species